GAUGUAUCUGUGGUAUUCACGAUGAUAAUCUUCACUUACUGCUUAUUUGUUAUUCUUUUGAUUCGAUGUCGUGCUGAUGAAUGCAGUUAUCCAUACCGUCGGGUUGGUAAAGGAUGUUAUCUUAUUCAAAAAGAUAAUAUAUCGGCCGAUGAUGCUUUUGCUAAAUGCUUACGACGAGGCACACACCUGGCGACCUUUUAAACUUUGAAUGAAGCCAUGUUAAUGAAGUAUGAACUCUUGAAAAUGAACACAGGUGUGCAUUAUUAUGUUGGUGGACGAAACAUCAACAGAUAUAAGCCCGGUGGUGAUUGGAGAUGGAUCAAGAAGAACGGACAGGCGGUCAAGAUGACCUACUACGCAUUUGAUACAAGGGAACCUAAUGGAUCACUCAAUGCGGCGGAAGAUUGCAUGUUUUUCUAUGCUACUAGAGGAUACAGAUUCCACAAUGUCUGGUGCGCAAUGGGUGGUUUACUUGGAGGUUAUAUUUGCGAAAAAUAAAUUGAAUUAUAAAA